UAUCAGUGCACGAUUACUUGUACGAUGCAUCAUACUUACAUUCUUAGAUCGAGUAGACAGGUGUUGUAAUUACACAUCGGAUGGAUCGUUCAAAAAAGGGAAUGAAACCGAAGAGUUUCUUUAUCGAAUUAUAUAUUUUAGGCACUUAUCUCUUAUCCAAAAUGCACGAGAUACAUCGUGGUCAGAAAUAUCGAUUGGAUAAUUUAUUAAGUUUUGGAUCUCUGUUCACCAGAUGGAUAGAUCGUAAUUAAAACAAAAAAAAAAAAAAAGAAAAAUGUAAAAAAUUUGUCUCUUGCAUGAAUUGUACGGAUGGGUGAUAAAGUGGUGUAUCGAUGAGAUGUGGAUUUUUUAAGGUUGUUGAGCGGGUAAUAUGAUCACGGUUUUUAUAAUUUUUUGAAGUUUAUAGUAUCUACAGUUACAGGGAUUAAUCACCAGCGAUAAAUUUAGAGAGAAACCAGGUUUAUCGGUUUAGAGCUGACUAGAAGUUGAAGAAUUCACAAGUUUAUUUUAUCAAUUUUCUCUUAUCCUUAUAUUAAAAAACGUUUCAUUCAUUAAUAUAAAUCAUUAUUUACACACAGAGAUUAUUGUAAAUAAAUGACAAUGUUACUUUUUGUAAGAAAAAUUUUUCUUAUCAAUUCCGGUUGUAUCGGUAUUAUACAUUGUGAUUUAUUCUUGAGGUAUUUAAAUAUUUAUCUUCGUUUUAUAAUUCUCUCGUCGAAACGGUAAAAUUAUCCUCCUUGUAAAAAAAAAUUAAUUUUUAUUUAAAAUUAUUUAUAUUCGUAAUGCUCCUCAAAUUUUUAUUAAAUUGAAAAUAGAAGAAAGAAAUUAAUUAAUUAAAAAUAGAAGAUAAGAUUCUAUAAGGAAAAUUAAUUUUUUUUUGAGUGGAAUGAUAAAAAUAUUCAUACUAUACGAUAGAGCGGAUGUAUUGUUGUACACUAGAUACAGUAAUAGAUACAGUAGUAGAUAAAACGAUGAGUAAGUCUCGUAUUUUUUAUGUUUGAAUAUUUAAAACAAUUUUCAGUUUAACAACUUUAUAAAUAAAUUCUAUACAAAUAUCACACGUAUACGUUAAUGAAAUCAAAUGAAGAAAUGAUGAAAAAUGAAAAGAAAAGAACAUAUAUGGUUUAUCAAUGUGAAUGUUUUUUGAUACUUAUUGUUUAAUCGUUAUAGAUGAUGAAUGCAUAAUUAAAUUCCUAACUAAAAUCGUUGAUUUUAUAUGUACAUAAUAUUUCCAGUAAAAAUAAUGUCUGACGUCAAUGUGAGUAUUCAGAAAAAAAUUGAAUACAUGUAUGCGAUUGUAACGAUGAAACGGAUCUUUGUUGGAGAAAAGUCGCGAAAAUAUAUUGCUUUGGAUGAAAGUGUUUAGUAUAAAAGAAAUAAAAGAACUGAAGUUAUAUUAAGUUGUAUGUACGAAAUAUAGAUAUACAAUAAAAAUAAUCGGUCAAUGUACGUAUAAAUUUUUGAUACUAAUUUGACACUUUUAUGAAUCCAUAGGGAGCAUCAUUAUUCGUGAUUUUUAUCAAUUGUAUAAUAAUUUUAUUCAUAAUUCAAUAUUAUAUUAAUAUUUUUAUGCGACUGAACAAUUUUCUAAAAUUUGUGUAAAUAUUUCGUAAUAAUCGUAGAACUCAAAAUCAAAUUUUCCCGCGGGCAUAUGUAAAUUCCCGCCAAUUGUACGGCGUUUCGAUCGAUUAGUUAGGUUCAGUGAUUCGAUUGACGUCCAGAGAGGUUAAACUUCUGCAAAGCCGAGUGAAAUUCAAAUUUAGCAAUUGACGUAACGAGUUGUAUCAGCGACCAGUUCACCGGUUUAUGUUGUUAGCAUCAAUGGAAUCGGACGAAAGAAUGGAAUGAGUUGGAUUAGAGAAAAUCCAAUGACGUCUUGAAACGUGUAGGCGUACCAAACCUAAAAGAAGGUUUUACCGGACCACCUGUAGCGAUCAGGAAGUAUCGGGCCAAAUAUAUAUACGUGAGAAUUUUUUUUAUGUUUUUAUUCAGCUUCGUAUACUAAAAAUAUCGUUUCAAGUCUAGAGAUAUUGUUUAUUUUACGUUUAAAACGAUUUUCCAUAAUAUAAACAUUUUUUAAUAAUUUUACAACGAAUUGGAAAAUGAGAAUAACAAGUGAAAAGAGGAAAAAUAUUCGUUAACGACAAUAAUAUUAGCAUUCGGUGUAUCGAGAUGAACGAUUUAUAUUUAUAUUAUUAAAAUAAUAUGAGGAUUUCAUAAAUACAAGAUUAUUAUCUAGAUAAAUAACAUCGAUAAAUUUAAUUCAAAUAUUAAUAAUCGACAUUAUCGUAUCCAUCUUUCGACAAAUUCAUAAAUAUCUAAAGUUACAAGUUAAUUUUUUAACGUGAAUCCAGAAUUUUUUAAUUCUUAAUUACAAUGUUACUUUUAAUCGAUGGAAAAGUUACGUCUUGUGAUUUCGUUUAAAAUAAUAAUGAACGAUAAGGAACCAUUGUGCUCUCUGGUAAGAAAUGAUGCGAAUCUCGAACAUCAUUCAGCCGAUAACACAGAUUUCUAUAUGAAAUAUUAAUUUUAUUCCAAAAAAAAUUUUAAAUACAAUUUUUUUUAUAUUUUAAUAAAUUUUAUAAAAUUAUUAUAAUAUGCGUAUUAUAUUUUUAUUCAAAAAGGAGAUAAUGAAACGUUAUUCGUUGCAUAUAUGAAUUCAAUAUCAUAAACUAUAAUAAGUAUAACUAUUUACAAAUUAAUUGCAAUGCUACUAUUAUGAAUACGUAUUAAAAUAAAUCAAAUUUUAUUCAUUUAUAUUUAAUUAAAUAAUCGAAGUAUAAGAAAAACAAAAAAUAAAAAGCAAUCGCAUUUAAUCAUCUCAAAUCAGUGUAUCCCAAUAUAUCACAUCAAUUCAGAUACAUUUCCUCGAUAUUUCGUCAAAUCAACGUCGAACAUUUUUUCGGAUUGACAGAAACCAUGUGAUGCACUUGUUACCGAUUAAUAAAUUGUAUUCGCUGAGAUAGAUUUCUUUUUCCUUUAGGGACAAAAAAUUUAUUUAUAUGUACAAUUCAUUCACGAACGAAUUUGAAGAUAUUUUUUCCCAGAGAAAAAGAUAUUUUGUCGUGGAUAUUAUAGACGACGAAUACAUUUUAACCGGCAUUCGUUUUAACCGUCCAUUAGAAAGAGCCGAUUAGAAAAUGGCAGAAAGCGCAUUUUCCCCGAAUCAAAGUUCAUCGAGGCCGCAUUCUUCCGCUUUAUCUGCCGAUGCACGGAGUUCCUGCUAUGCCGUGGACAAAAUUGUCGCGAGUCUCGCGUGCGUUCACGGUCAGUGACGUCUCCCUUCUAUGUAUGCUCCCUCGUCUCGUCCUGAACGAAGUCCAUCACGUGACCUUGUUGGUAUACCUCGUGUUUGCCUUAAGUCGCGAACAAACACGAGGAAGACUAGUUUUACUCGAUAAAAACAGCCCCAUAGUUAACAAUGUGUAUCGUUUUCUACUUCGACUAUAUAUCGGCCGAGAGUCGAUAAGAUCGAGGCUGUCUACAUGACGAAAUUUUAAAUUCGGGAGGUCGAUAUCCAUUUAUUGGUAUGCAACACCGCCACCGAGUCAAUAGCGCUUCCAUUUGGAAGGAUUUCUUUUAUGAUUAUGUCCUUAGACAUGCGGUUCCCCUCUUCGUAACAUUGUUUGUCGAUGGUUCUUCACCACAAUGAGACUUCUCAUUGUGUAUCUCGUUUCGUUAUAUUCUUUGAAAUACGUACAAGUACAAAAAAAAUGUAUAAAAGAUCGU